rnacentral:rRNA from 1 species
UACGGGGGGGGCAAGCGUUGUUCGGAAUUACUGGGCGUAAAGGGCUCGUAGGCGGCCCACUAAGUCAGACGUGAAAUCCCUCAGCUUAACUGGGGAACUGCGUCUGAUACUGGAUGGCUUGGAUUUGGGAGAGGGAUGCGGAAUUCCAGGUGUAGCGGUGAAAUGCGUAGAUAUCUGGAGGAACACCGGUGGCGAAGGCGGCAUCCUGGACCAACAUUGACGCUGAGGAGCGAAAGCUAGGGGAGCAAACGGG